UCCCUGGUGGCUCAGAGGGUAACGCAUCUGCCUACAAUGCAGGAGACCCAGGUUCAAACCCUGGGUUGGGAA
rfam:Ovis aries breed Texel chromosome 16, whole genome shotgun sequence.